GUGGGGAAUUUUGGACAAUGGGCGAAAGCCUGAUCCAGCAAUGCCGCGUGUGUGAAGAAGGCCUUCGGGUUGUAAAGCACUUUUGGCAGGGAAGAAACAGUGCGUGCUAAUACCAUGCGCGAAUGACGGUACCUGCAGAAUAAGCACCGGCUAACUACGUGCCAGCAGCCGCGGUAAUACGUAGGGUGCAAGCGUUAAUCGGAAUUACUGGGCGUAAAGCGUGCGCAGGCGGCUUUGUAAGACGGAUGUGAAAGCCCCGGGCUCAACCUGGGAAGUGCAUUCGUGACUGAAAGGCUAGAGUGUGUCAGAGGGAGGUGGAAUUCCGCGUGUAGCAGUGAAAUGCGUAGAGAUGCGGAGGAACACCGAUGGCGAAGGCAGCCUCCUGGGAUAACACUGACGCUCAGGCACGAAAGCGUGGGGAGCAAACAGGAUUAGAAACCCUAGUAGUCC
rnacentral:rRNA from 1 species